GAUGAACGCUGGCGGCGUGCCUAAUACAUGCAAGUCGAACGAAGAUCUAGCUUGCUAGAUCUUAGUGGCGAACGGGUGAGUAAUACAUAAAUAAUCUGCCCAUAUGACUGGAUAACUAUUGGAAACGAUAGCUAAUACCGGAUAGGUUGAUCGGAGGCAUCUCUGAUGAAUUAAAGUAGGAUUUCUACACAAAUGGAUGAGUUUAUGGCGCAUUAGUUAGUUGGUGGGGUAACGGCCUACCAAGACGAUGAUGCGUAGCCGACCUGAGAGGGUGACCGGCCACACUGGGACUGAGACACGGCCAGACUCCUACGGGAGGCAGCAGUAGGGAAUUUUCGGCAAUGGGCGCAAGCCUGACCGAGCAACGCCGCGUGAGUGAUUAAGGCCUUCGGGUUGUAAAGCUCUGUUGUAAGGGAAGAACAUUCAGGAUAGGAAAUGAUCUUGAACUGACGGUACCUUACCAGAAAGCCACGGCUAACUACGUGCCAGCCGCCGCCGUAA
rnacentral:rRNA from 1 species